CUGAAACCUUCUUGACUUUCCUUUUGCUCAUUUCCUGGUAUUAUGGCUUUAGGCCUUUCUCCACUGAAGUGUGUGCCCAGCCAGCAAGUAUAUGAAGAGACAUGUUCGAGAGCAGAUGGGCCAAGAUGAACAGUGAACACUUCUUAGAAGAGAAGGCAUAACAUGAUUCAUCUCAAUAACCCUCACAUAUGCACUGCUGAAUCUAGACUACGUGCCUCAACUCUCCCUAUGGGCAAUGGGGAGAAGAAGGUCAUUCUGGACAGUCCUGGAGUCCACCCAUUAGCCUGAGGAUGUUUCUUGUGCCCCAGCUGUAAAAUGGGAAGAUUUCACCAAACAUAACCUGGACACUGUGAUGAACAUAGUACUGCAGUCAUUCAGCUGUACAAGCAACUGCUUACAGAACAGCCUUCUGUAUGUACGCAGGUUGUGAUCAUUUAUUAGAGGCAAACUGCUGCCUGCUUUUCUUUGUCCCCCUUUUGUGGCAGGAGGCAUAAAAGCCCAGCUCCUCUUCCUCUUUCCUCGUGACAUUAUUAUGUAAAUCAUCGUAUCACCAAGAAUAAGCACUUUGCCUAUGCCUG
rnacentral:lncRNA from 1 species